rnacentral:rRNA from 1 species
CGGGACGGGUGAGUAAUGUCUGGGAAACUGCCUGAUGGAGGGGGAUAACUACUGGAAACGGUAGCUAAUACCGCAUAACGUCGCAAGACCAAAGGAGGGGGACCGUUCGGGCCUCUUGCCGUCGGAUGUGCCCAGAUGGGAUUAGCUAGUAGGUGGGGUAACGGCUCACCUAGGCGACGAUCCCUAGCUGGUCUGAGAGGAUGACCAGCCACACUGGAACUGAGACACGGUCCAG